rnacentral:lncRNA from 1 species
AGCUGAAUAGUGUGUUUCCCAAAAUUCAUAUGUUGACACCUUAACCCCCAGCACCUAAGGAUGUAACUAUAUUUGGAGAUAGUGUCAUCAGAGAGUCUCAGGUAUGUCUUUAUUAGCAGGAUUAAAAUGAACCAAUACAUCCCACUCCACUGUUUAAAGCAAAACUCCUGGCUCUAUGGGGUCUUCAAUUUACUGAAUGUUUUCUAGAUGCUUGCCCCUAAUUCUCUGAUGAGUCAAGAAACCUGCCACCUUAAGGUGCUUACUGGGUGGCUGUGGAUGUCUAACCUCAGUGCCAGCCACACAGAACCUGAAGCAGGGGUGGUUGCUCCUCUUAAUGGCAUGGAAUCCCAGUGAACAUCCUGCAUCCUCAGUGGCCAGCUGUCUGAGGCCACAGUUGUUUCUGAUGAUCGAGGACAAGGAGACUUACCACCCCAUGGCUGAGGCAUUCACAAAAAAAAAAUAGCUCACAUUAUGUUUUGCUUGUUUGCA